rfam:Hordeum vulgare subsp. vulgare, WGS project CAJW01000000 data, contig: morex_contig_136204
GUUCCCAGUGAUGUAUUAACCAUGCUAAUGCUGAUUCCAUCUGACGAGCAAUUCAUUAUUACUGAGGGAACC